rnacentral:rRNA from 1 species
UACGUAGGGACCAAGCGUUGUUCGGAAUUACUGGGCGUAAAGGGCGCGUAGGCGGCCUACUAAGUCGGACGUGAAAUCCCUCGGCUUAACCGGGGAACUGCGUCCGAUACUGGUUGGCUUGAGUUUGGGAGAGGGAUGCGGAAUUCCAGGUGUAGCGGUGAAAUGCGUAGAUAUCUGGAGGAACACCGGUGGCGAAGGCGGCAUCCUGGACCAAUACUGACGCUGAGGAGCGAAAGCCAGGGGAGCAAACGGG